rnacentral:rRNA from 1 species
UCGGGAAUUUUGGGCAAUGGGCGCAAGCCUGAUCCAGCCAUGCCGCGUGCAGGAUGACGGUCCUAUGGAUUGUAAACUGCUUUUGUACAGGAAGAAACAGUUCUACGUGUAGAACCUUGACGGUACUGUAAGAAUAAGGAUCGGCUAACUCCGUGCCAGCAGCCGCGGUAAUACGGAGGAUCCAAGCGUUAUCCGGAAUCAUUGGGUUUAAAGGGUCCGUAGGCGGUUAGAUAAGUCAGUGGUGAAAGCCCAUCGCUCAACGGUGGAACGGCCAUUGAUACUGUCUGACUUGAAUUAUUAGGAAGUAACUAGAAUAUGUAGUGUAGCGGUGAAAUGCUUAGAGAUUACAUGGAAUACCAAUUGCGAAGGCAGGUUACUACUAAUGGAUUGACGCUGAUGGACGAAAGCGUGGGUAGCGAGCAGGAUUAGAUACCCACGUAGUCCCUGAGCGGGCUGGCAAGGCGCAU